CCCCGGGGGUGCCGAAGUGCGGCCGGGGAGGUCGGCGCGUCCGGACUCUCAGGGCAGAGUGUUCUGAAGAGCCUGACACGCAUUCACGGUUCUCAUUAAAGAAGCUUCAUGUAAGUGCCAAUGGACACCUGAUCCCCUGCUGCCUUUGUUUGAAAACAAAGAAGUUUUGUUGUGCUGAUUUAACUGCCUACAAUCUUUGCUGAUGCUAUCCUAAAAAAAAUGCUGAUUCUGUCCUUUUUAACCCCUGUGUGAAACUGACUUUUAACAUACUUGUGCA
rnacentral:lncRNA from 1 species